CUUGUACUCAUACUGCUCAAACUAAAAUAUCCUUUCUUUGUAGGAAAAAUUGUCAGGAAUAAGUUAACCUUUGGCUCAUCUGCUUAAAUUAAGUCAAUCUUUGAUUUUUGAAGAAGAAAUUAAGUCAAUCUUUGGAUUAACUUAGAUUAAUACAAGCCUACGAGCGCAUUUGCUUUCAAUUAGUUGACAGGUAACCUGAUGAAUAGGUAAUAUCUUUUUCCUUUUUUAACAUCCCAACCGAUGACACUACCUCCAAUACCAAGCACUAAACCACACCCAGCACCACCACCCAGCACUGCCACCCAUUUUCCCUCCUUAGGAAGCCACCAGUCCACCACCACUUCUUUCUCCAUCCUUUUCUAGCCACCAGUCCACCACCAAUUCUUUCUCCUCCUUUGCAAGCCACCAGUCCACCACCAUUUCUUUCCCCUCCUUCACAAGUCACCAAACACUUCUUCUCCCCCUCCUUUGCAAGCCACCACCCAGUACUAACCUCAGGGAAGGAAUUGGAAUCUAAGAGAGAGAGCUCUCCUUCUGCGUGGCACAAGGUUAUCCCCUUCUUUUCUUUCUGGGUUGGAAGGGAAGUCAAGUUUUUUUUAAAAUUAAAACAAAAUCAAAAUUGAAAAUUUUAAACCAAUAAAGAAAAGACACGUGGAUGGGUUUACCUACAAUAAAGGUUGAACCCAUUAAAAGUAGACACUCUUAUAAAGCUGAUUAUUCUGAGGUAAACCAAUUAUUGACUUGAUUUGAGUACAUGAGCCAAAGGUUGACUUAUUCCUAACAAUUUUUCCUUCUUUUAAUUGUGACUUGUGAGUGGUCAAAUUUCCUUUGAACUUGGGAAGUCAUCACUCGACUUGGUUACUUCCAUAGGCAUCUGGAUUUUCUGAAGAGAGUUGAUCGGUUGUCUCAUUUUCUUCAAUACUGGGAGCAUGAUUACUUUAUGAAAUCACUAUAACAAUAUACCUUAUAGAUCAGCUACUAGUUUUUUACUAAAAUACUUGGUGGCAUUAAGCUCUUAUGAUCAAGGUUGGCCUAGUGGUUGUGAGGCUCUCCUUCCACCCCUGUGACAGGGGUUCGAUUCUUACCUCUUGCAAGAAGGAUCCCCAAUUUCUUCCCUUUCUUGCAAGGAAUUCUCCUUACCAAAUCAAAAAAAAAAAAAAAAAAAAGAA